GAUGAACGCUGGCUACAGGCUUAACACAUGCAAGUCGAGGGGAAACGACGGGGAAGCUUGCUUCCCCGGGCGUCGACCGGCGCACGGGUGAGUAACGCGUAUCCAACCUGCCUCUGACUGAGGGAUAACCCGUCGAAAGUCGGCCUAAUACCUCAUGGUAUCGUCUGCGGGCAUCCAACGACGAUUAAAGAUUUCAUCGGUCAGGGAUGGGGAUGCGUCUGAUUAGCUUGUUGGCGGGGUAACGGCCCACCAAGGCUACGAUCAGUAGGGGUUCUGAGAGGAAGGUCCCCCACAUUGGAACUGAGACACGGUCCAAACUCCUACGGGAGGCAGCAGUGAGGAAGAUUGGUCAAUGGGCGAGGGCCUGAACCAGCCAAGUAGCGUGCAGGAAGACGGCCCUAUGGGUUGUAAACUGCUUUUAGGCGGGGAUAAAGUGAGGGACGUGUCCCUCAUUGCAGGUACCGCAUGAAUAAGGACCGGCUAAUUCCGUG
rnacentral:rRNA from 1 species